GGGGAAUAUUGGACAAUGGGCGAAAGCCUGAUCCAGCCAUGCCGCGUGUGUGAAGAAGGUCUUCGGAUUGUAAAGCACUUUAAGUUGGGAGGAAGGGCUGCAAGUUAAUACCUUGUAGUUUUGACGUUACCAACAGAAUAAGCAACGGCUAACUUCGUGCCAGCAGCCGCGGUAAUACGAAGGGUGCAAGCGUUAAUCGGAAUUACUGGGCGUAAAGCGCGCGUAGGUGGUUUGGUAAGAUGGAUGUGAAAUCCCCGGGCUCAACCUGGGAACUGCAGUGGAUACUGGAUCACUAGAGUGUGGCAGAGGGUAGUGGAAUUCCCGGUGUAGCAGUGAAAUGCGUAGAGAUCGGGAGGAACAUCAGUGGCGAAGGCGACUGCCUGGGCCAACACUGACACUGAGGCACGAAAGCGUGGGGAGCAAACA
rnacentral:rRNA from 1 species